AGAGUUUGAUCCUGGCUCAGGACGAACGCUGGCGGCGUGCUUAACACAUGCAAGUCGAACGGAAAGCGCUUUUCGGAGUGACUCGAGCGGCGAACGGGUGAGUAACACGUGGGUGAUCUGCCCUGCACUUUGGGAUAAGCCUGGGAAACUGGGUCUAAUACCGGAUAGGACUACGAAUCGCAUGGUUUGUGGUGGAAAGCUUUUGCGGUGUGGGAUGGGCCCGCGGCCUAUCAGCUUGUUGGUGGGGUGAUGGCCUACCAAGGCGACGACGGGUAGCCGGCCUGAGAGGGUGUCCGGCCACACUGGGACUGAGAUACGGCCCAGACUCCUACGGGAGGCAGCAGUGGGGAAUAUUGCACAAUGGGCGCAAGCCUGAUGCAGCGACGCCGCGUGAGGGAUGACGGCCUUCGGGUUGUAAACCUCUUUCAACAGGGACGAAGCGCGAGUGACGGUACCUGUAGAAGAAGCACCGGCCAACUACGUGCCAGCAGCCGCGGUAAU
rnacentral:rRNA from 1 species